CAAUAGCGUAUAUUAAAGUUGUUGCGGUUGAAAAGCUCGUAGUUGAAUUUCUGUUUAGUGCACCUGUUCCACCCAUUGGGUCGGUAACUGGUGUGCUCUAAACUUUUGUUAGUGAACACGGCUGCACUUCCGUGAGGCCUGUUAACUAACCUAUUACUUAGAGUGUUUCAAGCAGGCUUCUGCCUUGAAUAUAUUAGCAUGGAAUAAUAUUUCAGGACCUUAGUUCUGAUUUGUUGGUUUCUGGAAUGAAGGUAAUGAUUAAUAGGAAUAGUCGGGGGCAUUCGUACUUAACUGUCAGAGGUGAAAUUCUUGGAUUUGUUAAAGACGAACUAAUGCGAAAGCAUUUGCCAAGGAUGUUUUCAUUGA
rnacentral:rRNA from 1 species